rnacentral:piRNA from 1 species
UACUCUGGUCACAACAGGUCAGAGAGGGAGC